rnacentral:misc_RNA from 1 species
GGGAUAUGAACUCUUCAUAAAUCAUAAUAAAGUUGGUGGGACAUUUAGGCUUUACAUUCAUAAUUUUCUUUCAAUUAUUGAUAUGUACGUACAAGCUAAUCAAAUUUUACCAAAUUAAAUAAAAUAGAAUUGACCUAGUAAUUGAUUAAUCAAACAAUUAGCUAUCUAUUCAGGCCUAUGUAGUGAAAAUAGGAGGAAGCACCUUGGAACUUCUACCUUUCACUGGAGUUUUUGUAUCAGGAAAGUUACCAUUUCCAUCAACAAGAUCCUCAACAAUACCUUCCAUUGUUACAUUCACAGGAUAAUUCACUAAGUGCACACCUUCCAUGUCUACAACUUCUUCGCCACUGUAAAUUUUCCACAUUGCUUCCCCUAAUGAAUAAGUUUUUUGUACACAUUCCAAACUUUGGGGCUCUAGGAAUAUUUCUUCAGCCAAGCUAGUAUGCUCAUACCACAGUGACAUUCUGUAUGCUUGAAUAUCACUAGGGCUAGUCUUGUUUCCAUCAUUUUCUGGUUGAUAGCAUCCUAUUGCAAUCUCAGUGUCACGUUGCCCAUCCAUUGAUCUUUGAUUCACGUUUGCAGAUCCUAUUAAUAUGUAUGCAUCGUCCACUGCGAAAUUCAUUAGAAACCAAAGAAUUAGUAAUAAUCUAUUAAUCAAGCGUCUAUAUUCUAAUGCUAGAAAUCAAGAAUUCAAAUUCUGACAAUCCUGAAAGUGGGGGAAAUAAAUAAGGAAAAUCGAGAUGGGGCAAUAUUGAUAUUAUACCUAUCAUGAGCUUGGAGUGAACAUAAACCAUGAACCUCCUAUGCUUUUGUGCAUUCCAGUAUUGUGUUGAGGGAUGGGGUGAGUAUGGAGGCACAAACUCUCCCUUCCUCUCCUCUUCUCUAUUAGCAAGGCAGAAGAAGUUCAAAAAAUCUCUGGGGUGCCCCAUCUGGUCGCUUUCUUGUAAUGCUUCUCCUAUUAGUCUAUACAUCAUUGCCAUAGUUUCUCUAGUCCAAUGCAAUAUAUCCUGAACUGGCUCACUCUCAGGAACCCCUUCAGGCCACAUGGGAAUUAAUACAUACACUGCAAAUCUUUCUUUUGCUUUGAUCUUGUGAACUAUCUUAAGUGCAAUUUCAAUUGGGAUCAAAUUGCUGCAUCCACAGUGCCUAUCUUUAUCCCACAAAUGACAUCCUCCAAUGAAGUAUUGGUUCUCAAUAUAUAUAAACCUCUCUGCACGCCUGAUUGCUUCUACAUAUGCUUCAUGGAUACUUCUCUCCACGGUUAAGUUUCUUGCCAUUUGGGUUGCUGAAACGUGGUCUAUCGAUCGAAAGACUUGAACUUUCCAAUUUCUGUCAUUGGAAACGCUUGAAGAAACAGUUAAUUGGUGUGUAAGAUUUGCUAUGGAGCUAGUGGGGAGUAACAAACAAGGGUCACAUUGUUUACUCCACCUUUGCUCAAAAUUGGUAAGUACAUCCCAAGCAGCCUCACCAGCAACGCAAGCAUGAGUAUCAUGCCACGGCUCUCUUGGCCCUCCCUUGUGCAAGCAAGCUCCAGCAAUAUUUGUCUGAUAGAAAUCACAACAAUGUGAUUCUUUAUUGAGUGUUUGAAACAAAGAAUGUUGUUCUGUGUCGAACCGGCCAUCACAAAGAUCUAAUCCUCCAACGAAGCUCAUGAUUUCUCUAUCAUUUAUUGAAUCAUUAUUUGCUCGAACAUCCACCGUUAUAGUCUUUUGAUGGUGAGCAAACAAAGUAGGGAACUUGUGGUGCAAUCUUGGACAUAAUCUGCAUACUACUUUGGUGUGUUUGAAAUACGCAAAAGCAUCCUCAUCAUGAGUUCCCAUCACACCUUUGUUCUUGAUAACUGGCAAGGAUGUUUCAUCAUUCCAAAUCAUUAUUCUCACUGCUACACCUUCCUCAGCUUUCCUUUUCAACAAUUCUCCAAGCUUUACUCCUCUUGCUUCUUGUAUUUCUGUUUCAGGAUCCCUAACCUGCAUAUGUUUAGUUUAUUAUAUUUUAUUAAAUAUGAAUUGUACACCUUUCAAGGGAUUUCGGGCGAAAAUUAAUAAGGAAAAUGAAGUAGUUGUUCAAAGUCUUCGCUUACUAGCACCAUUUUGGGAUUGAAAGACCACCCUGCAAUGUAAAUUAAAUGCUUUGCACCCUCAAUAGCUUUACAGACAUCCUCCAAUAAUUUUCUUGGAGACCCACAAAGAGCAAGAGGAGGUUGAAAGGAAGAGCAAUGGUGAGCAUCUUGAUAAAGUGUGACAUGGCAAUUGGAUCUUUGAGGAAAUGAAGCAUUUCUUAGUCCCUGGAAUUGAUCAUUUCUGAUUAUCCUUGUCCAAGUUGGCUCAAGUUCUGCUGGCUUAAACCAUAACAUGAACCUGAGCUUGAGUUCAGGAUUUGGCUUCCCAUUUUCCAUUAUGAGUGGGAAGAAGCCAUUAAUCAAAGUUGCUUGGGUGACAAUCUUGUGUGCUUGGAUUUGAAAUUUUCCCAAGAUGGAGCACUUUGUUUUCAGAGUAAUGGUGAUGGUUGAAUCCAAAUGGUGAGCACAAAGAAUUUGAAGGGUUUGGUUCCAAACUCGAUCUCGUUCAGGACUUGUCUUCGCCACCUUUCUCUGGUCUAUCUUGAUAGUCACAUAUGUGGGCUUUCCAUUUACAUAUAGACAAUUGAAGGGAAAUGGGG